CUAUGGAUCUGUGUUUGGUUCUGAUUAAUGGCUGGAUGUAGCACUAUGGAUCUGUGUUUGGUUCUUAUUAACAGCUGGAGGUAGCGCUAUAGAUCUGUGUUUGGUUCUGAUUAAUGGCUGGAUGUAGCACUAUGGAUCUGUGUUUGGUUCUGAUUAAUGGCUGGAUGUAGCACUAUCGAUCUGUGUUUGGUUCUGAUUAAUGGCUGGAUAUAGCACUAUGGAUCUGUGUUUGGUUCUGAUUAAUGGCUGGAUGUAGCACUAUGGAUCUGUGUUUGGU
rnacentral:lncRNA from 1 species